rnacentral:rRNA from 1 species
UACGAAGGGUGCAAGCGUUACUCGGAAUUACUGGGCGUAAAGCGUGCGUAGGUGGUUCGUUAAGUCUGAUGUGAAAGCCCUGGGCUCAACCUGGGAAUUGCAAUGGAUACUGGCAGGCUGGAGUAUGGUAGAGGAAGGUGGAAUUCCCGGUGUAGCAGUGAAGUGCGUAGAGAUCGGGAGGAACACCAGUGGCGAAGGCGGCCUUCUGGACCAAUACUGACGCUCAUGCACGAAAGCGUGGGGAGCAAACAGG